GGAGCUGUAGCUCAGUGGGUGAGCAUCAGCUUUGCAUGCAGAAGGUCGCAGGUUCAAUCCCCAAUGACAGCUCAA